rnacentral:rRNA from 1 species
CCUGAACGCUGGCGGCGUGGCUAAGACAUGCAAGUCGCACGGGGCCGUAGCAAUACGGUCCAGUGGCGAACGGGUGAGUAAUGAAUCGCUAACGUGCCCCGGACUCUGGGAUAGCUAGCCGAAAGGCUAGGUAAUACCAGAUGACAUAUCCCUCCUGCAUGGGAGGGAUCUCAAAGGUCCGCCGGUCUGGGAGCGGGCGAUUUCGUAUCAGCUAGUUGGUGAGGAACGGCUCACCAAGGCGACGACGCGUAGCCGGACUGAGAGGUUGGCCGGCCACAUUGGGACUGAGACACUGCCCAGACUCCUACGGGGGGC